CUCUAAAGAGAACUCUGAAGGACACGGAAGCAAGACGGCUUCAGAAGAAGGGGAAGUCUGACUGCCGGACGCGGCCACUUCGGGCGGUAAGUGCAUUUACCUCCUGGGUUUGAGGAAUAACGCCCCCGAGGUGUGGGUUGGACGGUGGAAAUCCCCUAGGCAGCCUGUAUACGGGAAGCUACAUCGAUACGCAGUGCCUUUUCAGGCCCUUCCCUUGGAUCAGCCCGUGCACCCGUUCCAGAUCAGUGAUCAGGUCCUUGUCAAGAAGUGGAAGCGUGACCCCCUUACACCACGGUGGGACGGCCCGCACACUGUCUCGCUCAUCAGCCAGGCGGCAGUUAAAGUUCUUGGGAGUGACAAAUGGACUCACCAUACGCGGGUAAAGCGGUUUCUGAGCCCUAGCCCGGAGACUGAACUAGCAGAAGAGGACACCGGCCCUCUGCCCACCCCGGCUCCGGACGCCCGGGGUGGCACAGGUGAAGACUCUACCUGGGAGUACCAGUACUUGGACGGACUAAAGGGACUGUUUAGAAAAA